rnacentral:lncRNA from 1 species
UCUGUAACAAACUCCACGUGGCCCCACCACUCUCGGCAAGUCGUGACAACGGACACCACUCCACUCUCUGUAACAAACUCCACGUGGCCCCGAAUGGCCCACUACCAGGCAGUUACAGACGUCGCUGUUAUUCGGUUAUGCUCUCCCAUCUAUAAAAGGAACCCCCCAGAUACGUUCUCCUCUAAGCUCUAAACACUAUCUCUAAACUUUGCUAAAAUCCCAUUUGAGUACUCCAUUUCUGUUGAAGUUAAGUACUGACUUAAGCAUCGGAGGGUCUUGUCGGAGCACCCCCAACUCCAGUUUAGACUUUUCUUGCAGGUCCCGACGGUGGCCGCGAUCCUCUUGACUCCAGCUUCUCC